UUGACCUGAGAUGAUACUACUGCUCGUAGUGAGGCUACUGGAGUUUGACUGACACAUCAAUAUGGAUCUCAAAGAGCUCUUGUAGUGGAUGUUGGUGAUAGUUGAUCCACUGUAGGAGUGGGGUAUGCAUCAAGAUGGAAUCUAUCGAUCCUAGCAGAAAGGAGUAGUCCUAUAGGAUUUAAGAGGCUAAGUCCUUAAGUCUAUGGCCAUAGCAGUGUGAUUGAUGGAAAAGAGUUUUCAGAGAAUCACAUAUGAACUUAAGCUGAUUGAAUUUAUCAUAUGACCGAUGUUGAGGUUUGACGAUUUAUCUAUGACCUACCAUCUAGUCGGAACUCACGAUAGAGGGACUGAAUUAUAUGUUAACUACACCUAAAAAUUUAUUUCAGUUCUACUGGAUUGCCACUACAUACUGCUAGGUGUCACUAGUAGAUUGUGAGAGCUCACUGGGGUUGUUCUAGAUUGACAAUUCUUGUUGAGUUAAAGUGAAAUUAUUCCGAUCCAUUAAAAAAAGUUUUAAUGAUACAAUAAUAGAGAUCAUUGUAUGUCUCACUACUAGAUAAAAUUAAACCUAUGAGUCACACAACAAAAGAAUUAUGACUAGAAUAAGAAAUUAAGCUUAUAAAGUAUCAAUUGGGUUUAGAGAAACCCAU
rnacentral:lncRNA from 1 species